rnacentral:rRNA from 1 species
GAAAUUUAUUAUUUUUUUAACAUAUAAAAAUUCACGAAUCCAAGUGAGCUAAUUUUUAUUUUACUUUAGAAUGUUAAAUUAGCGUAGUAUAGCUAGAUAAAUAAUAAAAAUUAGGGGUGAAAGGCCUACCAAAUUUGGGGAUAUCUUGAUAAUAAGGAAAUAUAUUUAGUAUAUAGCCAGCUUGCUAAUGGUGAGGUUAGUAAGAAUUAUAAUUUUAGUUAUUUUCUUAUUGGAAAUCAUAAUAGAUACCAGUUAUAUUAAUUUAAUAUUACUAUACUUUUUAAUAUAUAAUGAAUACUUAUUUUUAAUUAAAAUUAACUAAUAUUUGUUUCAAUAUUGAUUUCAUUAGUAUUUAUUUACUUCUAAGUUAGGAACUCGGCAAUUAUAUUUCUCGACUGUUUAUCAAAAACAAGUUUUAAGUGUGUAUUUAAAAUUUAACCUGCUCAAUGAAAAAAAUUAAAUAGCCGCAGUACCUUGACUGUGCAAAGGUAGCAUAAUCAAUUGGCUUAUAAUUGAAGUCUAGUAUGAAUGGGAACUUGGGAAAUUACUGUCUUAGUUAGAUCUAUAAAACUUACUUAAUAAGUGAAAAUUCUUAUAUUUAGAAAAAAGACGAGAAGACCCUAGAAAUUUUUUAAAUAUAUACCCUUUAAUUUUGUUGGGGCGACAGGGUAACAAAAAAACUUACCUGUUAUAUGUGAAACUUUUAAGUUGUACAAUUAAAUUACUCUAGGGAUAACAGCAUAAUAUUAAAAAGUUUGUGACCUCGAUGUUGGACUAGGGAGUAAAUUAUUUAGAAGGUAGUUUAAUAAGCUCUGUUCGAGCUGUACACCCUACCCGAUCUGAGUUCAGACCGG